rnacentral:lncRNA from 1 species
AGCCAACACAGCACUGGCAAAUCAGGGAGCUGUCAGAAACAGCUGUCCAUUAACGGAGUUUGUGGAAACAACCAGGAGCUGUUUGAAAAUGCUAGGUGGUAGAAUUUAAUUGGAGUAGCAACUGUUCAAAAUUAAGAUUAAAAGGACCAGUCAGUCAACGUGGAUUUCGUGACACCUUAAAAAUAACGUUUCAGGUUUGAUUAAUGCUGCAAGAAGUUUGCACAUUUCUCUCCUUUGCUGAUAGGGCCUGCGUGCUGAUAGUUGAUUCAGUGAAUAUAUGUAGCAGUGAUAGCUCAUGGGCUCCAGAGGUCAGAUAUCUUAUUCUCUAGGCUGAAACCCUUGUUGCUUUAAGGAAACAGGAUUUUAAUAGGAAUCACAUGCAGAUUGACUACAGGGAGCCAAGCGGUAGUGGAAGAAGCAAAGUUGGCGGUUUUGGAGACGGACGUCUAUCUAUCCACAGUGGGACAAAAAUGAAGGUUAUUGAAAAGAAUCAUGCUUGGUGGAAGAAGUAAUUACAUUUUUUUUUCAAAUCUCAGAGGAAUAAUGCUUUUAUAUUUCCUGCGAUGACCCAAUUUGCACUACGAUAUGCUCCCUUAAAUGUGAUUUAAACAGAAGAGAGGACCACCCCGCCAACCAAAUGUCCAGGUCCUAUUCCAUGGAACCUAUGAACAGGUUGUCCCACAUUGCAAAAGGGACUUCACAGAUGUCGGUAAGUUAAGGCCAUUGAGACGAAUGAUUCUGGAUUGUCUGUUGGGCCCAAUGUGAUCAAAAGUUUCCCUAGAAGAGCUAGAGAAGAUGCGAUAAUGGAAGCGGAAUCAAAGACAGAUUUGAAGAUGCUGCUGUCUUUGGAGAGAAUGGCCAGGAGGCAAGGAACACAAGCAGCCCCUAGAAGUUGGAAAAGAAACAGGAGUGAUAAGGGGGAACUGAGGACU